GAAAAGUUCAAUUUUGACUUGAAAAUUAUAUUUAAAUUUUUAAUUAUAUGUAAAUUAUAUUUUGAUAAUUAUAAGCAGUAAUUAAUUUUAAUUAUUAAAAAAUUUUAGAAUUAGAAAAAUUUUAUAAUAUUAACAAAAUUUGUGCCAGCAGUUGCGGUUAUACAGAUAAUAUAAUUUAAUUUUAUUAACAUUAAUUAAUUUAUUUAUAAUAAAAUUUAAAUUUAAAAUUUAUUAAGUGGAAUUUUAAAUUUUAAUAAAAAUUUAUUUAUUUAAAUGAGGUUAAGAAAUUUUAUUAAUAGACUAGGAUUAGAUACCCUAUUAUUUGAAAAGUAAAUAUUUUGUUUAAUUAUUAUUAGUUAUUUUCUUUAAAAUUAAAAAAUUUGGCGGUAUUUUAGUCUUUUCAGAGGAACCUGUUUUAUAAAUGAUAAUCCACGAUUAUAUUUACUUUAUUUAUUAGUUUGUAUAUCGUCGUAGUUAAAUAUUUUUUUAGAAUUUUAAUAUUUAAGAUUUUAUAUUAAAAAAUUUUUCAGAUCAAGGUGCAGUUUAUAUUAAAGUUUUUAUGGGUUACAAUAAAUUUAUUUUUAGAUUCUUAUUUUUAAUAAUAAGUUGAAAUUGGAUUUGACAGUAAUUUUAAUUAUUUAAUUAAUUUGAUUUAGCUCUAAGAUAUGUACAUAUCGCCCGUCGCUUUCAUGAUUAUUGGAAUAAGUCGUAACAAAGUAGAUUUACUGGAAAGUGAUUCUAGAUU
rnacentral:ncRNA from 1 species